rnacentral:tRNA from 1 species
AGUAAAGUCAGCUAAUUCAAGCUCUCAGGCCCAUACCCUGAAAAUGAAGGUUAAAACCCCUCCUUUACGA